GUUUGAGCAGAUGCUUAGCAGAAGUCGAGUUCCAUUUUCCUUAUGGCUAAUCCACUGCUAACACGUAUAGCACUUCUGGUUUUGAACACUGAAUGUGUUUGCAUUAUAGAUGGAUUUAGAGUGUGUGGCUGUUGUGUGUGGUUCAGAAUUCUGAGUAGUCCUUUCAGGGAUCACCCAAAAGCUGAGACAAAGCGUGAGCCAUUCACGUGGACUGUGCUGUGCAUCAGAAAGAUAAUACGAGCCACCUACACAAUCUAAAAUUUCCCAAAAACCAACGGGCUACUCGACGUCCUUCUUUCACCACAAGUCUUGAAAUCCUCUGUGUGAUUUCCACAUCGGGCUUUGCACCAGCCUGUCUCACGUGCUCAGGGGCUGCACGAGGCGAGUGACUGCCGUGGCCGACAGCACAGAGCUUCCAGGUUGAGUUGAGUGACUCACAAACUUGGCCCGUUUGACUUGUUUUACCCCAUGAGCAAGUGAAGUGGGCUGUAGAGGAAUGAAUGUGAGGAAUGCAGGUGAGCUCCAUGGAGACAGUUUAAAGCAGUGAGAGGAGGGAGGGCAAUAGAUUGAGUCGUAUCCCCCUGACCCAAACCCCCGCCCCAAGUCCAGCUUCUCUCUACCAACUUCAUCAUUUUUAAUGGCUUGCCAUGUUUCCUCCAGAGAAACCUUUCCUACACCUGAGAUGGAACUUCCUCCUCAUCAUGGUUUAUAAGGGUUAAUAUCGUGCUGAGUGUUUCUAUUUGCUAGGGACUCUUAGAGAACAUUUUCUCAGAAUUAAAAUGUUCAGAGUUAAUACCUAUUCACGUAACCUGUUCUGCACAUUUUGGUGCAAGUCACUUUACAUCCAGAAAGUAAGCAGUGCAGGCUGUGUCAUUUGCUGUUUCAUAGGACCAGCUGAUUCUAAACCUGGAAACCCUGAGAGCCGAAGGGGACCAGACAAGACUGCGAGGGGCUCCCUUCCACCACAGCUCGACAGGCUCUCAGGACAACCCCGGGAACAACCCCAGCAGCGGCACCAGCAGGCAGGACUCGCUGCACAAAGCCCCAAAGAAAAAGGGCAUCAAUCAAGUCCUCCAUCAGCCCCUUGUUUCACAAGAAGGAAAAGGGCCGGCCUGAACACCCCAACAAGGAGGCAUUAGGACCAGGUGGGUGCUUCACCUUUCAGAGGGAGGAGGGCCUGCAGGCA
rnacentral:lncRNA from 1 species